CCUGCCUACAAACCUGACACCCACUAAAUUAUGAUUUAUGCCAGUCAGCCUCUGGGUGCAGAGAGCUCCUCACCUGCAUUUUGCUUGGUGGCUGUUCCUUCUUCUUGUCCCCAGUUACUGCGAUCGUGGCAAAAUACUGGAUGACACGCUUGGUGUUUACUGUCUUCCCAGCCCCGGAUUCUCCACUGCCAUUUAAAACCACCAGGUUCCAGAUGCUACCAUGAUAACAACCGGACUUCCCUGGGCAGACCCCACCAAUGUGUCCUGGAGAGCCUCACUAUCCCAGUGCCCUUCCCCACUAGGGAAAGAGAGAGACAGGCUGGGAGUAUGGAUUGACCUGUCAAUGCCCAUGUUCAGAGGAGAAGCAAUUACAGAAGCCAGACCUUCCACCUUCUGCAUCCCAUAAUGACCCCCUGGGUCCAUACUACCAGAGGGAUAAAGAAUAAGAAGCUAUCAAGGGAGGGGAUGGGAUAUGGAAUUCAGGUGGUGGCCAAUGUUUGGAAAUGUACCCCUCUUAUCUUAUGGUCUUGUUAAUAUUUCCAUUUUAUAAGUAAAAAUUAAUAUAUAU